rnacentral:rRNA from 1 species
AGUUUAAUGUUUAUAGCGUAAGGGGUUGGUUUUAUAAAAUAAUAAAUUGUUAUAGUACAUAAUAUGAAAUUAAUUAGUUAUUAAGAACUGAAAAGGGUGUUUGAGAUAUCAAUAAACUAUAAGAAAGGAAUAAACUAGUGUACCUUUUGUAUCAGGGUUUAUUAAAUACAAAAUAAUUAUUUCAUUCUCGAUUUAAAGAGAGCUAAUCUCUUAAUUAAGUUAAAGUAACAAAUUUAUAUAAAAUAGGGGGAUAGGAGUGAAAUGCUAAACGAUCUUUAAGGUAUCUAGUUUCUUAAGAAAUGAAUUUAAUUCAGGUACUUUAGGUUAAUGAAAUUUAAAUAAAGUACUAAUACUUUAGGGGAUAAGCUCUAGAGUACUCUUAUAAAUAAUAUAACACGGGGUUUAGUAGGCUUAGAAGUAGCCAUUUAAAUAGUUUUAUAACUUACCUUUAAGAAUGUUAAUUUUUAUAAUUUUAAUCUGUUAUUAAGAUAUCUUUACGAACAAUAAGUAAAGAAAAACAAUGAUAAAAUAAUUAUAUAGGAAAGGUCUUGUUAGGGAAUUCGGCAAAUAUGUGUUCGCCUGUUUAUCAAAAACAUCGCCUUUAGGGGAAAUUAAAGGUACCGCCUGCCCACUGAGUAUUUUAAGGGCCGCGGUAUUUUGACCGUGCAAAGGUAGCAUAAUCAUUAGUCUCAUAAUUGGAGACUGGAAUGAAGGGCAUGACGAGGCACAGACUGUCCCCAUGAGAAGGAUAAAAUUUUACUUUUUAGUGAAAAGGCUAAAAUGAAGUUAAAGGACGAGAAGACCCUAUAGAACUUUAUAAAAUUAAGGUUAGUAUUUUAGAAAAAGGUAAAUUCUUAAUCGUAUCUUUAUUGUGUUGGGGUGAUAGGGCAAUACAUAAACUUGCCUUUAAAUAGAACAUUUAUAUGUGAAUAGCAGAACCAGCAUUGCUGAUUAAAAAAUUAAGUUACCUUAGGGAUAACAGCGUAAUCUUUUUAGAGAGCCCAAAUCGAUAACAAGGGUUGCGACCUCGAUGUUGGAUUAAAGGUAAGCCCGGGUGCAGCAGCUCGGGUUUGAGGUCUGUUCGACCAGAAAACUUUACAUGAUCUGAGUUCAGACCGGCGUGAGCCAGGUCGGUUUCUAUCCUUAACAAAGUAAGUGCUUUAGUACGAAAGGACCAAGUACUAGGGAUUAAGCCCUAAAAUUUGAAUACCAG